CUGCUUCCAGGAAAAGCCACUAAGCUUCAGUCUAGAAUUGACCGUACCGCAAACCGACACAGGUGGGCAGGUAGAAGAUACUAAGGCGCUUGAGAGAACUCAGGAGAAGGAACUCGGCAAAUUGAUACCGUAACUUCGGGAGAAGGUAUGCCCUGGUAGCUUGUAGGAGAACAUCCGAAGGGCGACGGGGCCGCAGAGAAUCGGUGGCUGCGACUGUUUAUUAAAAACACAGCACUCUGCAAACACGAAAGUGGACGUAUAGGGUGUGACGCCUGCCCGGUGCCGGAAGGUUAAGUGAUGGGGUGCAAGCUCUUGAUCGAAGCCCCGGUAAACGGCGGCCGUAACAAUAAUGGUCCUAAGGUAGCGAAAUUCCUUGUCGGGUAAGUUCCGACCUGCACGAAUGGCGUAACGAUGGCCACACUGUCUCCUCCUGAGACUCAGCGAAGUUGAAGUGUUUGUGAAGAUGCAAUCUCCCCGCGGCUAGACGGAAAGACCCCAUGAACCUUUACUGUAGCUUUGCAUUGGACUUUGACGGGACUUGUGUAGGAUAGGUGGGAGGCGCUGAGACCAGGACGCUAGUUCUGGUGGAGCCGCCCUUGAAAUACCACCCUGGUGUCGUUGAGGUUCUAACCUAGGUCCAUCAUCUGGAUCGGGGACCGUGCAUGGUAGGCAGUUUGACUGGGGCGGUCUCCUCCCAAAAGGUAACGGAGGAGUACGAAGGUCUUCUAGGUACGGUCGGACAUCGUACUGAUAGUGCAAUGGCAAAAGAAGGCUUGACUGCGAGACCGACAAGUCGAGCAGGUGCGAAAGCAGGUCAUAGUGAUCCGGUGGUUCUGUAUGGAAGGGCCAUCGCUCAACGGAUAAAAGGUACUCUGGGGAUAACAGGCUGAUUCCGCCCAAGAGUUCACAUCGACGGCGGAGUUUGGCACCUCGAUGUCGGCUCAUCACAUCCUGGGGCUGUAGCCGGUCCCAAGGGUAUGGCUGUUCGCCAUUUAAAGUGGUACGUGAGCUGGGUUUAAAACGUCGUGAGACAGUUUGGUCCCUAUCUGCCGUGGGCGCUGGAUAUUUGAGGGGGCCUGCUCCUAGUACGAGAGGACCGGAGUGGACGGAUCUCUGGUGUACCGGUUGUGACGCCAGUCGCAUCGCCGGGUAGCUAAAUCCGGAAGAGAUAACCGCUGAAAGCAUCUAAGCGGGAAACUCGCCUCGAGAUGAGAUAUCCCUGGGAACUUGAUUCCCCUGAAGGGUCGUCGAAGACCACGACGUUGAUAGGUCGGGUGUGGAAGUG
rnacentral:rRNA from 1 species